rnacentral:rRNA from 1 species
GAGUUUGAUCCUGGCUCAGAUUGAACGCUGGCGGCAGGCCUAACACAUGCAAGUCGAGCGGUAGAGAGAAGCUUGCUUCUCUUGAGAGCGGCGGACGGGUGAGUAAUGCCUAGGAAUCCGCCUGGUAGUGGGGGAUAACGCUCGGAAGCGGACGCUAAUACCGCAUACGUCCUACGGGAGAAAGCAGGGGACCUUCGGGCCUUGCGCUAUCAGAUGAGCCUAGGUCGGAUUAGCUAGUUGGUGAGGUAAUGGCUCACCAAGGCGACGAUCCGUAACUGGUCUGAGAGGAUGAUCAGUCACACUGGAACUGAGACACGGUCCAGACUCCUACGGGAGGCAGCAGUGGGGAAUAUUGGACAAUGGGCGAAAGCCUGAUCCAGCCAUGCCGCGUGUGUGAAGAAGGUCUUCGGAUUGUAAAGCACUUUAAGUUGGGAGGAAGGGCAGUAAAUUAAUACUUUGCUGUUUUGACGUUACCGACAGAAUAAGCACCGGCUAAUUCUGUGCCAGCACG